ACUACCUUCUCUCUAUAUUAAUUUGUGUAAGGUGGAUACCGUGCCUUCUGGUUUUCUCCUACAUUUGGCUUUUUUGGAUUAUUAUUUUUGAGGUUAUUACUAGUAUUUUUUUUGUGCAGAUAAAGCCCCUUUCAGUUACAUAUGGCUUGGGCAUAUCAGAUCAUGAUUCUGAGGGACGGCUGUCACUGCAUAGUUUGAUUCAUUCUAUCUCUUGAGCGGUUACGUUCCUAAUUCUGGUGAUGGCCUGAGAAGACUGAUGUAUAGGAUUUCACAGUGGGAUCCAUCUCUUGGUAACUACAUAAAGUAUGUUCAGCACUAUGUAGCCCUUUUGUUUUUUGAUAAAGCUAUUUAGACUUUUGUUCAGGAGUCAUUAUUCACCAUAUCAUGGAUCAAUUCUACAACCUAUGAAGGAACUUGAAAAGUUGAAGCCUGUGAUUUUGACUGGCGAUCUGAAUUGUGCCCAUCAGGAAAUAGACAUUUAUGAUCCUGCGGUAAGGGAAACAAUCAAUGUGCCUUUUCUGCCUUUGAUUGACUAGGUGCAUUAAUAAUUUGCAUGAGCUUUUUAACUGUCACAGGACAAUGUCCUGGCCACACCAUAUGCCCCCCACCCCACUUAAAAGAGGGGAAAAACCCCAAAACAGAGGACUGUAAUCAGGCUUUUCCUCCAUACAACUGAAUUUUGUUUUGGGUUUUUGUUGGGGGGGUGUUUGGGGUUUUGUGUUGGGGGUUGAUAAAAAUCACAAUUUAGGCUGUUUGGCAUCCCGAAACAGAAGUUCUUAAUAUGUCUAAUGUUUCUUAUUUCCGUCAUUAAUCUGAUUGUCAUGAGACUCCAAGGAAAUAAAAGAAGUGCUGGAUUUACAAUUGAAGAAAGGGAAUCUUUUGAGACCAACUUCCUGUUGAGGGGCUUUGUUGAUACCUUUAGAAGACAGUAUCCUCAUGCUGUUGGUUAUACUUAUUGGGGUUAUCAGCAUGGUGGGAGGAAGACAAAUAAAGGGUGGCGGCUCGAUUAUUUUCUUGUUUCAGAAUCUAUAGCAGAAAAG